GAAUUCGCCCUUGGGGAAUUUUCCGCAAUGGGGGCAACCCUGACGGAGCAACGCCGCGUGGGGGAGGAAGGUCUGUGGAUUGUAAACCCCUUUUCUCUGGGAAGAAGAUCUGACGGUACCAGAGGAAUCAGCAUCGGCUAACUCCGUGCCAGCAGCCGCGGUAAGACGGAGGAUGCAAGCGUUAUCCGGAAUUAUUGGGCGUAAAGCGUCCGUAGGCCGUUCAUCAAGUCUGCCGUUAAAGACUACAGCUUAACUGUGGGCCGGCGGUGGAAACUGAAGAACUUGAGUAUGGUAGGGGUAGAGGGAAUUCCCAGUGUAGCGGUGAAAUGCGUAGAUAUUGGGAAGAACACCAGUGGCGAAGGCGCUCUGCUGGGCCAUAACUGACGCUGAGGGACGAAAGCUAGGGGAGCGAAAGGGAUUAGAUACCCCUGUAGUCAAGGGCGAA
rnacentral:rRNA from 1 species